UCCCUAACGGCACAACAGGAAGGACAAACUGCUAGCAAAUCUCACCUAUGGAACCCAUUCUACCCUGUGUUGCUGGGGAAACCACAGAGGUGACUGGGUCCCUUGGUUAAGAGCCAAGGUGAUAGGAUCUGUGGCCUCUUGGUAGGACUUGGAGGCUUCCCUAACCAUUGGCAGAUUUUUCUCCCUGGGGAAGCUCUGAAGUCUCACAGGAGGUUUCCCCUGGAGUCUUGGCUGUGUGGAGUAACUUGAGAAAACCACAGAAUUCUGCAGAGUUGCGUCAUCAAUAGGGUCUUGGAGUUAACUUGCCAGUGCCAUGAGUUCCUCCAUCUCACAGUACUGCUGAGUGCCUCCUCUGGCUCUCCUUACAGUGGCCAUUUUGGUAUCAAUCCCUGGUUCAAGCUGAUUUCUGACACUGGAAAAACAAACCUAAAAGCAAUUUAGAAAACACCUGCCCGUGAAGUCAGAUGGCAAAGUAUCUAAAGCUUCUCUCGAAAUCUGUGACCUCAGAGGCUGACAUGGUUUGAUGGGAAAUUUAAUGUAAUAGGCUGCGAAAGCCAAGAGGCCUGUUGUCAGCAAUGAAGUCUGAAAGUUAGCAGAAUUAAUAACGCUGUACAAUGGAAGAGCCCUCAAGGGACAAGGCUGCAGAACCAGGGCAGUGGGGAAAAAUGACUUUUGAAGUCAUUUCACUAUGACAUUCUGUCAUCACUGCUAAACGGAAAUAAAAAA